AGGCGUAGUUCAGUGGUAGAACACCACCUUGCCAAGGUGGUUAUGCGGGUUCGAUUCCCGUCGCCUG
rnacentral:tRNA from 2 species